rnacentral:tRNA from 1 species
GCCCUGGUAGCUUAGUCAGUUAUAGCGCGUCCUUGGUAAGGACGAGGUCGCAGAUGCAAAUUCUGCCCAGGGCU